UCUGGCCGCGCGAGACUAAUCCCACUGUGGGUGGCUAUUGAUAUGGCAAGAUUAUUUGCACAUUUUAAAACCUAGAGGACACUCUAAAAUAAAAAAAUUAACCCCAAACUAACCUUGGGGACUCCUAACAUAACUAGGGGACUCCUAAAAUGACUAGGGAUGCUUUAAAAAACCACCACCCUAAUAGUGAACUAGGGGACUCCCAACAUAACUAGGGGACAUAGCUAAGUAGAAAAGAUAAAGAAAUUCAAUUUUUAAAGAGAAAAAUAAAAAGAGCGUGUGCAAUAUUUUUCAUGGCCUGAACCAGAUUCAAACCAGUGCCCACAUCACAUCCAGCCCCACGCUUUCCCCACUGCACCACCACGAACCUGCUGCCCUAAUAAUGAUGAUUGUCAUAUUUAUACUUUAUUUCUGUAUACAGUAAGAUUACAGGUCCAUAUAAGAAUAGCCACCAAGAUGUGUGAGUUAGGAAAAUGGUAAAAGAGUCUGUCUGGUACAUAUCUUUGAGGCUAGUUCAUUCAUUUAGACUCAUUGUAAAGGAAAGUGCUAUACCUAAUUUAAAAGAUCCUAGUGUUACUCUAUCAUUAGAAGAUAAUGCAUUAAUAAAGACAUGUGGCAGUUCACUAUCAGUGAAACAUUUCUACUUCAGAAGUUCAGACUUUGGACAUGAAACUAAUGUCAUACCUUUAUUAUGUUAAAAGUGAUCAUCAUAGAGCCUGUAUGCUCCACACUAAUGGUCCUGUGACACUGGUCAAUGGUGGUAAUGUAGGAUCUUUCUAAAAUGAAGCUACAUGUACAUGUAAGUUCAAGGCAUCUUUUGUUACUUUCUGCCUACUAUACUUAUGUAUAAUGUCAGCUUAUGCACUUGUGUCAACUUAUGUACAGUAUCAGUCAAACAAUUAGCAGCACUAGAUAAUGUCGUCUGAUAUAAAAUUUCCAGCAGUGGAUUUUAUCUUUUUUUCCCAUUCAUUUAAAAACAAAAGCUGUAACUGGGAUUCAUUCAUUAAUAUAAUAAUAAUAAUAAUAAUAAUAAUAAUAAUAAUUGCAAUGUAUCACUAUUACUCUAAGGUACAUGUAUGUGUAUUUCUUAUUUCUGGAAAAUUGAGAUGUAAAUAAUAAAUCAAUACUUUAUGAGUGAAAAUAUUUGUGAGAACAAUAUUAUACCUAUUUUGGCUUGUCAAAUUAUAAUUUCAAAAAUAAUUAUAGUUGAGUUUGGUCCACGUCUCUACGUAAAUUAUUGUUCACAAAGACACAUAUUAAGUCCAAUAACUUAUACAUAGUUUAUUCUGAUCGUUUUUGGUGAAGAUGCAUAAGAUAUUAAAAGUGUUUAGUACCUCCAGACUACUUUGUCUUGUA